GGGCUGCAGUUAGGAAUAAUCUGCAAUGCGCGCAAGCGUGACAGUUUGAGCCAGAGUGCGUUUCUAUUGAAAUGCUUUUGCCGAAUAUAAAAAGUUCGGCGAAUAAGGACUGGGUAAGACAGGUGCCAGCCGCCGCGGUAAUACCUGCGGUCCAAGUCGCAGCCACUUUUAUUGGGUCUAAAACAUCUGUAGCUUGCUUAGUAAGUUUCCUGUGAAAUCCGGCUUCUUAAGAGUCGGGCGAGCAGGAAGUACUGCUGAGCUAGAGACUGGGAGACGUAAGAAGUACGUUCGAAGUAGCGGUAAAAUGUUUUAAUCUCGAACGGACUAACAAUAGCGAAGGCAUCUUACGAGAACAGUUCUGACAGUGAGGGAUGAAGGCUAGGGGCGCAAAACGGAUUAGAUACCCCAGUAGUC
rnacentral:rRNA from 1 species